AAUGGCAGGUGCGGGAGUCAGGGCCGGUAAUCUGGCGCAGUUUCUCGCCGCGGGCGUGCAGGAGGUUCACAGCUCUGCCGGGCAGUGGCUUCCCUCAUUGAUGCGCUACCGCAAUCCGGGGCUGUCGAUGUCUACCGACCCCGAUGCCGACGAAUAUGCCCGCUACGCCGUUAACGGCGAUGCAGUGGCGGAGAUGAAGGCGAUUAUCUCCGGCUACGGACGCUAACGAUUUUUACCGCGCAUCAUGUCGCCCAAUGUGAUGCUAUUUGUACCAGGCCCCUGCCAUUAACAGGGGCCUUUUUUU
rfam:Pluralibacter gergoviae strain JS81F13 contig_1, whole genome shotgun sequence.